rnacentral:lncRNA from 1 species
GAUUCCAUCACCAAACAAUCAGCAGUACUUAUUUUUUAGUCCUGUGCUCCUGAAACUACCCUUGAAUAUCUCUAACCCCUGAUCCACUGGGGAGGCUGAUUUGAGAGGCCAGAAGAACUUGCCUGGCAAUUAUGAGUGGAUGGAGGAACUGCCUAUCCCUGUCCCAUUGUCUUGUCCACAGGUCAGCCUCACAAAGGGAAAGAGCCCUGGAUGGGAAUACAGUGGAAGCUCAUUCUCUUAGUGACCUGGGGACAUUGGCUCGAGAUGAAGCCUGGCAGGAGUGGCAACUCCAGGUUUGGAUGCCUAAGAAGAGAGGUUUUGAGCCAAUAAAUGACUAUGGGGUGCUUGGAAGCCAGUGAGCCCUCACUUCUGGUGGAGGAGAGGAUGAGCCUGUGGCUGCGGACACACCUCAUGUGACCCUGAUCUCCCCUUUGUGAUUGUGUGACUCUGGCUCAGGGACUGUGUCUUCCUGUACCUCAGUUUUCUGUCAAUCAGAUAAGCUAAAUGGCAAAUGGACAGUGGCUUUUCAUGCUAUCUGUGAAUAAAUGUUAAAUGAUUCACAGUCACCUGACCUAAUGCUUGGCACAGUGGAGGUUUCACACAAAUAGCAUUUAUUAUUAAUUUGCUUCCAUGAGAAAGCCCCUUUGCGUCAGAUCCCUGUGGGCAAGCUGCUACCAGGUACAUCUUCUCUCUUGUGUUUCUGCUUCUGGGGACAUUAGACUUUCUAUGGACUGGCCUAAGCCUCCUAAGGCAGUUGUCUGAUGGCCUACAAAGCUUGUCUUUCUGUCCUCUCCACUCUGAGUGUCAGGUGAAGAAAACUCUGUCCUUGCCCAGAUGAGGCUCUGAGGGCUGAGCCCUGGCUGGUGAACAGCUCCAGGAGACACAGUCCUCUGACAGCUGGUAAAUCCUCGGUCCCAGUAAGCCCUGCCCAAGAAGCCACAACCCAGCCCCAGCACAGGCUCCUCAGAUUUAUCUGGAGCAAGGAUUUAGGGACACUGUUCUGGGGGUGAGGCUUCUAGGGCUGAGCUUCUCUGAGAGUAUCUCAGGGGCUCCUCAGGCCAAGCCCUACUCAGUUCUCCAGGGUCUUUCUCAGGGUCAAAUUUAUGAAGAGGGCAUGAGGUGCUUGUCUGAGACUGAUCUCCUCCUGCUGAGUCCCCCCAUCAGACUGUCCUUCCUCUGCAGCGAGUGUCUGCAGGGUCUGGAUGCGGGAAAGGAAUUCUGAUCUGUUGAAAUUUGUCUCCUCUGUGUGUGUCCUGCACUAAAUGCCCAAACCCCAGCAU